rnacentral:rRNA from 1 species
CCUACGGGUGGCAGCAGUAGGGAAUAUUGCUCAAUGGGGGAAACCCUGAAGCAGCAACGCCGCGUGGAGGAUGAAGGUUUUCGGAUUGUAAACUCCUUUUGUUAGAGAAGAUAAUGACGGUAUCUCACUCAUAUGCACCGGCUAACUCUGUGCCAGCAGCCGCGGUAAUACGGAGGGGGCAAGCGUUACUCGGAGUUACUGGGCGUAAAGAGCGCGUAGGCGGGGUUACAAGUGAGAUGUGAAAUCCUCUGGCUUAACCGAAGAACUGCAUUUGAAACUGUUUUUCUUGAGUAUUGGAGAGGCAGGUGGAAUUCCUGGUGUAGGGGUGAAAUGCGUAGAGAUUAAGAGGAACAC